UACGAAGGGGGCUAGCGUUGUUCGGAAUUACUGGGCGUAAAGGGCGCGUAGGCGGUCCUUCAAGUCAGGCGUGAAAGCCCCGGGCUCGACCUGGGAACCGCGCUUGAGACUGGAGAACUAGAGUUCGGGAGAGGAUGGUGGAAUUCCCAGUGUAGAGGUGAAAUUCGUAGAUAUUGGGAAGAACACCGAUGGCGAAGGCAGCCAUCUGGACCGACACUGACGCUGAGGCGCGAAAGCGUGGGGAGCAAACAGG
rnacentral:rRNA from 1 species